AUUUCCCUGCUGUGUGCGUGGACCUGACAGAGGAAAGAGCCAACACUAUGACAUAGGGAGUCCGGACUCUGGAUGUGGAUUGUAUGCCCUCCUUAUGAGAGGGAAACAUGAAUCAUCCAGGAGGACACCCACCUGGGAGAGCAGGGUCUCUGUUCCUUGUCAGUACACGGCAUGGCGGGGUUUUU
rnacentral:other from 2 species